AGGACGAACGCUGGCGGCGUGCUUAACACAUGCAAGUCGAGCGGAAAGGCCUUUCGGGGUACUCGAGCGGCGAACGGGUGAGUAACACGUGAGUAAUCUGCCCAUCGCUUCAGGAUAGCCAUCGGAAACGGUGAUUAAUACUGGAUAUGACAUUCCUUCGCAUGUUGGGGUGUGGAAAGUUUUUUCGGCGGUGGAUGUGCUCGCGGCCUAUCAGCUUGUUGGUGGGGUAAUGGCCUACCAAGGCUUUGACGGGUAGCCGGCCUGAGAGGGUGACCGGCCACACUGGGACUGAGACACGGCCCAGACUCCUACGGGAGGCAGCAGUGGGGAAUAUUGGACAAUGGGCGGAAACCUGAUCCAGCAACGCCGCGUGAGGGAUGACGGCUUCGGUUGUAAACCUCUUUCAGCACAGACGAAGUUUUAGUCUUUUUGGUGUAAGUGACGGUAUAGUGACGAGAAGAAGGAACCGGACCGAACGUACGUGACCGAGACAGCCGCGGUAA
rnacentral:rRNA from 1 species